rnacentral:rRNA from 1 species
UACGAAGGGGGCGAGCGUUGUUCGGAAUUACUGGGCGUAAAGGGCGCGCAGGCGGCUCUGAAAGUCAGAUGUGAAAGCCCCGGGCUUAACCUGAGAAUUGCAUUUGAUACUCUGGAGCUUGAGUACGGGAGAGGAGAGUGGAAUUCCCAGUGUAGAGGUGAAAUUCGUAGAUAUUGGGAAGAACAACGGUGGCGAAGGCGGCUCUCUGGACCGUAACUGACGCUGAGGCGCGAAAGCGUGGGGAGCAAACAGG